ensembl:lncRNA
CUAGUCUCCUCUGUUCCCUCUCCGUCUGCCCCUAGUCUCCUCUGUUCCCUCUCUGUCUGCCCCUAGUCUCCUCUGUUUCCUCUCUGUCUGCCCCUAUCUCCUCUGUUCCCUCUCCGUCUGCCCCUAGUCUCCUCUGUCCCCUCUCCGUCUGCCCCUAUCUCCUCUGUUCCCUCUCCGUCUGCCCCUAGUCUCCUCUGUUCCCUCUCUGGCUGCCCCUAGUCUCCUCUGUUCCCUCUCCGUCUGCCCAUAGUCUCCUCUGUUCCCUCUCCGUCUGCCCCUAGUCUCCUCUCUUUCCUCUCUGUCUGCUCCUAGUCGCCUCUGUUUCCUCUCUGUCUG